rnacentral:tRNA from 1 species
CCCCCCAUAGCCCAACCGGCAGAGGCAGCCGACUUAAAAUCGGCCCAGUGUGGGUUCGAACCCCACUGGGGGGACCA